UUGCCUCAGUAACGGCGAGUGAAGCGGCAAUAGCUCAAAUUUGAAAUCUGCUCUUUCGAGCCGAAUUGUAAUUUGUAGAGGAUGCUUCGGCUUACGUUUCGGUCUAAGUUCCUUGGAACAGGACGUCACAGAGGGUGAGAAUCCCGUUUGUGGCCGAGACUUCCGCCAUGUGAAGCUCCUUCGACGAGUCGAGUUGUUUGGGAAUGCAGCUCUAAAUGGGAGGUAUAUUUCUUCUAAAGCUAAAUACCGGCCAGAGACCGAUAGCGCACAAGUAGAGUGAUCGAAAGAUGAAAAGCACUUUGGAAAGAGAGUUAAAAAGUACGUGAAAUUGUUGAAAGGGAAGCGCUUGCGACCAGACUUGCCCGCGGAUGCUCAACCGGUCCUUCGGCCGGUGCACUCUUCCGCGGUCAGGCCAGCAUCAGUUCGAGUAGCCAGAUAAAGGCAUUGGGAAUGUGGCUCUCUUCGGGGAGUGUUAUAGCCCUUUGUGCAAUAUGGUUCACUUGGACUGAGGCCCGCGCUUCGUGCUAGGAUGCUGGCGUAAUGGUCGUAAGCGGCCCGUCUUGAAACACGGACCAAGGAGUCUAACAUCUAUGCGAGUGUUUGGGUGUCAAACCCGUGCGCGAAAUGAAAGUGAACGGAGGUGGGAACCUUUGGGUGCACCAUCGACCGAUCCUGAUGUCUUCGGAUGGAUUUGAGUAAGAGCAUAGCUGUUGGGACCCGAAAGAUGGUGAACUAUGCCUGAAUAGGGUGAAGCCAGAGGAAACUCUGGUGGAGGCUCGCAGCGGUUCUGACGUGCAAAUCGAUCGUCAAAUUUGGGUAUAGGGGCGAAAGACU
rnacentral:rRNA from 1 species